ncrna:unclassified sequences Glutamine-II riboswitch (downstream peptide RNA)
GUACGUUCAUCCCAUUGGGACGCAUGCUGCCUAACCAUGGAACGGGGGUUAGGU